AUGGCGGAAACCGAAAAGCCUUUAUAGAGUAGGUG
rfam:Aquimarina atlantica strain 22II-S11-z7 contig2, whole genome shotgun sequence.